rnacentral:rRNA from 1 species
GACGAACGCUGGCGGCGUGCUUAACACAUGCAAGUCGAACGGAAAGGCCCUGCUUUUGUGGGGUGCUCGAGUGGCGAACGGGUGAGUAACACGUGAGUAACCUGCCCCUGACUUUGGGAUAACUUCAGGAAACUGGGGCUAAUACCGGAUAGGAGCUCCUGCUGCAUGGUGGUGGUUGGAAAGUUUCGGCGGUUGGGGAUGGACUCGCGGCUUAUCAGCUUGGUGGUGGGGUAGUGGCUUACCAAGGCUUUGACGGGUAGCCGGCCUGAGAGGGUGACCGGCCACAUUGGGACUGAGAUACGGCCCAGAGUCCUACGGGAGGCAGCAGUGGGGAAUAUUGCACAAUGGGCGGAAGCCUGAUGCAGCAACGCCGCGUGCGGGAUGACGGCCUUCGGGUUGUAAACCGCUUUCGCCUGUGACGAAGCGUGAGUGACGGUAAUGGGUAAAGAAGCACCGGCUAACUACGUG